rnacentral:rRNA from 1 species
UUAACACAUGCAAGUCGAGCGGUAACAGGAGAAGCUUGCUUCUCGCUGACGAGCGGCGGACGGGUGAGUAAUACUUAGGAAUCUACCUAGUAGUGGGGGAUAGCUCGGGGAAACUCGAAUUAAUACCGCAUACGACCUACGGGAGAAAGGGGGCAACUUGUUGCUCUCGCUAUUAGAUGAGCCUAAGUCGGAUUAGCUAGAUGGUGGGGUAAAGGCCUACCAUGGCGACGAUCUGUAGCUGGUCUGAGAGGAUGAUCAGCCACACCGGGACUGAGACACGGCCCGGACUCCUACGGGAGGCAGCAGUGGGGAAUAUUGGACAAUGGGGGCAACCCUGAUCCAGCCAUGCCGCGUGUGUGAAGAAGGCCUUUUGGUUGUAAAGCACUUUAAGCAGUGAAGAAGACUCCAUGGUUAAUACCCAUGGACGAUGACAUUAGCUGCAGAAUAAGCACCGGCUAACUCUGUGCCAGCAGCCGCGGUAAUACAGAGGGUGCAAGCGUUAAUCGGAAUUACUGGGCGUAAAGCGAGCGUAGGUGGCUUGAUAAGUCAGAUGUGAAAGCCCCGGGCUUAACCUGGGAACGGCAUCUGAUACUGUUAGGCUAGAGUAGGUGAGAGGAAGGUAGAAUUCCAGGUGUAGCGGUGAAAUGCGUAGAGAUCUGGAGGAAUACCGAUGGCGAAGGCAGCCUUCUGGCAUCAUACUGACACUGAGGUUCGAAA